rnacentral:rRNA from 2 species
UCGUCACACUAUCAUUAACUGAAUCCAUAGGUUAAUGAGGCGAACCGGGGGAACUGAAACAUCUAAGUACCCCGAGGAAAAGAAAUCAACCGAGAUUCCCCCAGUAGCGGCGAGCGAACGGGGAGGAGCCCAGAGCCUGAAUCAGCAUGUGUGUUAGUGGAAGCGUCUGGAAAGGCGCGCGAUACAGGGUGACAGCCCCGUACACAAAAGCGCAUGUGCUGUGAGCUCGAUGAGUAGGGCGGGACACGUGGUAUCCUGUCUGAAUAUGGGGGGACCAUCCUCCAAGGCUAAAUACUCCUGACUGACCGAUAGUGAACCAGUACCGUGAGGGAAAGGCGAAAAGAACCCCGGCGAGGGGAGUGAAAAAGAACCUGAAACCGUGUACGUACAAGCAGUGGGAGCACCCUUUGGGUGUGACUGCGUACCUUUUGUAUAAUGGGUCAGCGACUUAUAUUCUGUAGCAAGGUUAACCGAAUAGGGGAGCCGGAGGGAAACCGAGUCUUAA